UAUUGAUUUGACUUAAACAUACUUACCUUAUCCCUCACCUAAUUAUACAGUAGUUUCUUCUCUCUCUGUCUCUCUCUCUCUCUGUCUCUCUCUCUCUCUCACACACACACACACACAUGUUCCCAUUCAGAGGAAUUUUUUCAUGUUGGGCAAAAACGUUUGGGGGGAGGUUACACAUGGGGCAAUGGGGCAAAACAGAACAGUCUGACCUUAGGUACCAUCAUGCUGGAAAAGGAGGUGGUUCAGCCCUUGCUCCCAUUGCAGGUGAUGGAGAGAAACCAUGGCAACUAAGGACUGGUCACACACUAUUGCUACCUGGGUGAGCAGAGGACCUCCAGCCCCUGGCAAAUCUGGAGGUCACACAGCUGGCAGACAUCUGUGCCCUGGGGCAUGUUCCAUUUCUCCUCACUUUGCCAACCUCAGCCUGCUGCUGCUGCUACUGCUGGUGGUUGUGGUAGUGGGUAAACCCAGCCCAGGUGGUGAAGACUUACCCCAGUGUGAGAUUCCUCUGCCAUAGAGGAUAUGGCUAGCAGAAAUAAUUGCAGCUCCCUGACUAUCCUCAGCGUUAGGGAUGGCACCUGCUGGUAAGUACUCCCUUUGCCCAGUAAAUGCCCAGUCAGAAGACCCUCUCUGUGGCUAGAACUGGCACCUCUAUCCCUGGCUCCCUCCUUUUCCAGGUGACAUAAUCCCAUUGCAUGGGAGGGUUCUAUAUAUUGGGGUGCAUAUGUUUGGUUGGUAAUAUUCCACUCCUGGUUAAAGCUUGCAAAUAAGAUAAAGAAGGUAGCUUACCAACACCAUCAUACAGGCAUUAAGGUGGCACAGAAGAAGAGAGAAGGAACCCCAGGGAUGCUAACUCCUGUUGCCUCUGUGCCAGGGGAAAGAGAGAUGGCCAAGGGUGAUUGUGGCUUCUGGAUUCAUGUCCAUAAGCUCAUAGAAUGUCAAGGAAUGGAAGACAUCAUCUGAGUGAACUAAUUUUACAGAUGGGGAAACUGAGAUUCAGAGAAGGGAAGUAGGGACUAAGAUUAGAGCACAAGUCUUCUUCCUUCCAGUACAGAAGUUUUUUCACUACAUCCUGCUGGGACAGCUCGUAGUCAUCAAAAUCAUGACAUCAGGAAUGCCUAUCUUUAGCCCCCCUUUAC
rnacentral:lncRNA from 1 species